rnacentral:lncRNA from 1 species
UUGAUUUCGCUGACGAUUUGCGGAAUGACCUUGGUGACUAGCGAUGCGUUUGUCAGCGUGGUUGCGGCGGGUAGCGCGAGAAGUAUGCGAACCGAAUGACGACAUUGUCUGCAACAGACAUCGCCACAGGAUUCAGACGCAACACACUCAAAUCUCGCCAUAUAGCGUUUAACAAGUAUACUUAUAAAGCUCAGGAACACGUUCACAUAUAAGCAUAUAAUCACAUAGGCACACAAAUCACAUAGGCACAUAAGCACAUAGCACAGAAGCACAUAAGCACGUAGAACAUAGAAACACAUAUUCAACUAUAUUUUGCACGUAUUCACCUACAUAUAUUGCACGUAUUCACCUAUCAUUCUAGUUCGUGAAGCGCGUUCAAGAAUAGCGAGAGCGAGAAGCGAGUAACAUAAGCGAGAGACAUAGCACGCGAUUGGUUAGCGUUUUGAGAUAAUUGUGCAGUGCGAGUUGUGUGUGUUUAUUAAAGCGAGGAACGAAAAGCGUGUAGUCUCCCAAAUCAAAACAUAAACAUAUAAAAACUGUAGGAUCGUAUGCUGACCCGAACGAGUCUAUCAGAGGAGUGCGGAAAACAAGUAACUGAAGUAGAAACAGCUAGCACUUCACUUAAAUCACACUUUUGAUUGAUAUUACAGCGUUUACAAUCCAAUGGAAAACCGGCAGCACCUCGGUAUCCGUAAACAAGAACUCGUACAACUGAUUUCGUUCAUAGGCUAUAUAUAGAGCCUUGAUUUCGCUCAUAAUGACAUGGUACCCAUUUGGAGCGAAAUCAACAUGCUGAUUUCCCACCAAAUGACUAAACUCUGAUUUCCCA